GCCUUGCAAGAUGAUAACGUGAUCGUGUAUCUCCUCGCUAGUCUUGGCCCUGACUGUGAUCCAUUCGUCACCUUGAUGACUACCAAGAGUGAAGCCCUCACGUUUGAUGAUGUGUUUGCGCAUCUAAUGGCUUUUGAAG